rnacentral:rRNA from 1 species
UACGAAGGGGGCUAGCGUUGCUCGGAAUCACUGGGCGUAAAGCGCACGUAGGCGGACUCUUAAGUCAGGGGUGAAAUCCUGGAGCUCAACUCCAGAACUGCCUUUGAUACUGGGAGUCUUGAGUUCGGGAGAGGUGAGUGGAACUGCGAGUGUAGAGGUGAAAUUCGUAGAUAUCUGCAGGAACACCCGUGGCGAAAGCGGCGCGCUGGACCACUACUGACGCUGAGGAACGAAAGCUAGGGGAGCAAACAGG